UAGUCGGCGGACGUGGUGAGUAACGCGUGGGCAACCUGCCUUACACAGGGGGAUAACAAUUAGAAAUGAUUGCUAAUACCGCAUAAGACCCCAGUGCCGCAUGGUACAGGGGUAAAAACUGAGGUGGUGUAAGAUGGGCCCGCGUCUGAUUAGGUAGUUGGUGGGGUAGAAGCCUACCAAGCCGACGAUCAGUAGCCGACCUGAGAGGGCGACCGGCCACAUUGGGACUGAGACACGGCCCAAACUCCUACGGAAGGCAGCAG
rnacentral:rRNA from 1 species